AAAAUCUUAAAGGUUGAUUAUGUCUGCUUGAUCUAAUAUUAAUAUGAUCAUCUUGAAAGAAUUAACAAGCGCAUUUACCCUCAUCUUUAAUAUUUCAAUGUGUGAAUUGUACACUCAUAUAAACUAUUAAAUUAUCAAUGAAGGAGUCGAGCAUUACUAAGCAGUUAAUACUUGACGAGUAUUACAUAAAAUAUCAAAAAUGAAGUAGAAUUACUGAGGUCUUUACCGAUAGCAUAUAACACCUUGGGAUUAUUAAUAAAGGCUGUAUAAAAUUAAAUGACUAUAAGAAAGUAAAAUCAGUUUAUCUUAGGUAUGCGAAUAUUAAUAUUUAACAUCCCAUAUAAAAUUAAAUGCGACGCAGAGCAAAACAAAUGAGCAUAUACUUCUGAAAUACAAAUAAGAAAUACGUUAAGUAUAUAACUUGGAAAAAUACCUAUAUUGUGUGCCAGAUUUAAGCUAGUGCAAAAUGCAAUUUAAAUUUAGCUAUUAUUUGUUAUUUUGUAAAAAGUCAAGAAACAAAGUGAGUCUAUAAAAGAGUAAUAAAUGUCUUCGUUAUAUCUGACAAGUCGAGUCUAAGAUAAAUAAGUAGGCGUAAAUGGAAUUAUUUUAACAAAUUAAGGGAUCUUGUAGAAAGUUGCAGUUUGUAUUAGACUUCGUAGAGACUAAAUCUCAAUGUGUGUUAAUGACAUCUGCUGUUGUAGGAUGAGAAGAAAGAAAAAGGCCGAAGAAGAAAGAAAGAAAGAAGCGCUCGUCCAUUAAGGUAUGACAGAAUGGCCCAAGAAAAUCGAACUCAGAGCAAAUGAACACAAAAAUGAACUUCAAGACUAUGUGGCCGAAGAUAAACCAAACUGGACAUGAUAGACUUCACUUGCUUUUGGAUUACCCGCUAUAUUUACUUUAUAAAAAAAAAAUUCUUAGUAAACAGAAUUAUUUUUAUUACUUUAGUCUGCUAAAGUAAUAAAAUUUGCAUGUAUUUAACAUCUAAGUAAAAGUGAUUUAUUUUAAUGGGAAAA